rnacentral:rRNA from 1 species
GCUUACGGCCAUAUCACGCUGAAUACACCGGUUCUCGUCCGAUCACCGAAGUUAAGCAACGUAGAGCCUAGUCAGUACUUGGAUGGGUGACCGCCUGGGAAUACUAGGUGCUGUAAGCA